rnacentral:rRNA from 1 species
GAUGCAACGCGGAAAAACCUAACCUAACCCUUGANAUGUACGGAAUUCCGCUGAGAGGUGGAUGUGNUCGAAAGAGAGCCGUAACACAAGGUGCUGCAUGGCUGUCGUCAGCUCGUGUCGUGAGAUGUUGGGUUAAGUCCCGCAACGAGCGCAACCNUUGUCCUUAGUUGCUACGCAAGAGCACUCUAAGGAGACUGCCGGUGACAAACCGGAGGAAGGUGGGGAUGACGUCAAGUCCUCAUGGCCCUUAUGGGUAGGGCUUCACACGUCAUACAAUGGUCGGUACAGAGGGCUGCCAAACCGCGAGGUGGAGCUAACCCCAGAAAACCGAUNGUAGUCCGGAUCGCAGUCUGCAACUCGACUGCGUGAAGCUGGAAUCGNUAGUAAUCGCGGAUCAGCAUGUCGCGGUGAAUACGUUCCCGGGUUUUGUACACACCGCCCGUCACACCAUGGGAGUGGUUUUGCCAGAAGUAGGUAGCCUAACCGUAAGGAGGCGCUUACCACGGCAGGAUAAUGANUGGGG